rnacentral:sRNA from 1 species
UCUGUUUUGUCCCCUGUUUUUGACUGUG